CCGAUGGGCAAGGAAAAAAAAAAUUAAAGCAGGUAUCCGAGGCCCCGAUGGGCUAAGGAGGAAAAAAAUUAAAAGCAGGUAUCCGCGGCCCCGAUGGGCAAUUAAAAAAAAAAAAAAGAAUUAAAAAGCAGGUAUCCAUGGCCCCGUUGGGCAAAAAA